rnacentral:tRNA from 2 species
CAAGGCGUAGCAAAAUAGAACCGCAUCUCCCUUACACCGAGAAAGCACCCGUGCAAAUCGGGUCGCCCUGA